rnacentral:rRNA from 1 species
GAUGAACGCUGGCGGCGUGCUUAACACAUGCAAGUCGAACGGAAAGGCUCCUGCUUGCAGGGGUACUCGAGUGGCGAACGGGUGAGUAACACGUGGGUGAUCUGCCCUGCACUUCGGGAUAAGCCUGGGAAACUGGGUCUAAUACCGGAUAGGACGAUGGUUUGGAUGCCAUUGUGGAAAGUUUUUUCGGUGUGGGAUGAGCUCGCGGCCUAUCAGCUUGUUGGUGGGGUAAUGGCCUACCAAGGCGUCGACGGGUAGCCGGCCUGAGAGGGUGUACGGCCACAUUGGGACUGAGAGACGGCGCAGACUCCUACGGGAGGCAGCAGUGGGGAAUAUUGCACAAUGGGCGCAAGCCUGAUGCAGCGACGCCGCGUGGGGGAUGACGGCCUUCGGGUUGUAAACUCCUUUCGCUAGGGACGAAGCGCAAGUGACGGUACCUGGAGAAGAAGCACCGGCUAACUACGUG